GGCGUUUGCACUUUUGUCAAUAUGAUUUGCCUUACUAAUAUGUAAAAUUCGAAACCAGUCAACAGAGAUGAGUGUACAUGUACUGCUGAUGUGAGAUAAUCAGCUGCAAAAUUAGAAAGAGAAAGCUAUAGAAACAGAGGCAUUUGUCGUUAGCUAAGAGAAUUUAACAAGAAAAAAGAUGGUUAAAGAUAAGAGAAGUGAAAGUGAGAAACAUGUGUGUCAACCUCGUGACAGGAGACACAACUUUGGUUAUGGACAGAAUCAGUCCAGUGUUCAUGGCAACUUCCCUCAUUCAGCUCCCAAUCCAUCGUGGGCACCUGCGUCUCAAAACCAACCUGAACUUUACCGGCACACACAAGCCUGGGGCUCGGUAUUUAGGGAUAGAGCUCAUUUUGUAGAAAUGCAUUUAGUUUAGUAAAACUUUUCACUAUUGAUAUAUUGAAUACCUAAGAAUGUAAUUGUGAUGAAAUUUUGUGAAUUAUUUUGAAUGAGGAUUCAUGUCAUUUAUAUACAUUUGUAUAUGAAUGAUUUUUGUACUGUUUUUUGUAUGAUUAUCAGGUGAUAGUGAAAUUGUG